UCCAAGAGACUUCCAUGGAUAAAGUAUAGAGUGGUGGAUUGCAGCCAAGGAUGACUUGCCGGCCAGCCGGUAUCGCGUGCUACCGGAGAAAGGGUCGCCGGCAAGUUGUCCUUCGCUACAUUUCUCCCUCUGCUUUUCAUGCAAGUCUCCGGUGAUCCAUUUUUAUCAAAAUGCAAUGAAAUGAAGGUUUAGCAAAAGAUAGAGAGGUAGGCGGCGCCGCCGCAGCAGCCGCGGCGCAAGUCAUCGUAAUAAUGUGAAGGAUAUGAUAGAGAGGUAGCAAUCGCCAUCAACAAUCUAUUUUUGGGGCCAGUUUUAAAGCUCGUUAUCCUAUGUUUGCAUUUCGUUUUCCCUAUUCAUAAAGAGCUUUGUGGUCCAUGGGUGAUAAAAGUGUAUAAUAAUGAGCAAUUUAUAAAAUAAAACCAUCAUCGAUCUAUAAUUGAACGAUAAUGUCUACGAAAAUAGUCUUGUUUUUCUA